GACGAACGCUGGCGGCGUGCCUAAUACAUGCAAGUAGAACGCUGAAGAGAGGAGCUUGCUCUUCUUGGAUGAGUUGCGAACGGGUGAGUAACGCGUAGGUAACCUGCCUUGUAGCGGGGGAUAACUAUUGGAAACGAUAGCUAAUACCGCAUAACAAUGGAUGACACAUGUCAUUUAUUUGAAAGGGGCAAUUGCUCCACUACAAGAUGGACCUGCGUUGUAUUAGCUAGUAGGUGAGGUAAUGGCUCACCUAGGCGACGAUACAUAGCCGACCUGAGAGGGUGAUCGGCCACACUGGGACUGAGACACGGCCCAGACUCCUACGGGAGGCGGCAGUAGGGAAUCUUCGGCAAUGGGGGCAACCCUGACCGAGCAACGCCGCGUGAGUGAAGAAGGGUUUCGGAUCGUAAAGCUCUGUUGUAAGUCAAGAACGGGUGUGAGAGUGGAAAGCUCACACUGUGACGGUAGCUUACCAGAAAGGGACGGCUAACUACGUG
rnacentral:rRNA from 1 species